CACGGGGGGAGCAAGCGUUGUUCGGAAUCACUGGGCGUAAAGGGUGCGUAGGCGGGUCUUUAAGUCAGGGGUGAAAUCCUGGAGCUCAACUCCAGAACUGCCUUUGAUACUGAAGAUCUUGAGUUCGGGAGAGGUGAGUGGAACUGCGAGUGUAGAGGUGAAAUUCGUAGAUAUUCGCAAGAACACCAGUGGCGAAGGCGGCUCACUGGCCCGAUACUGACGCUGAGGCACGAAAGCGUGGGGAGCAAACAGG
rnacentral:rRNA from 1 species